UUUUCGAUCAAACUCUCUCAUUUGGCUAAUGUCAAGCAAUACUUGUAUCAGCUCGGGAAAUCUUACUUGCCGAUUACGGACGUGAAUACCGUUCGAUUCUGUUCGUCGUGUGAUUGUCCAUCAUGAAUAGAGUUCUUCUAUAAAAAACGGCCCAAUAUUCUGUAAUAUUAAACCAAUUGGUUUCGAAAUAAUGCCCAAGUCCGUCGUACGUGCCGUCGUCGUCAUCUUCAUCUAAAAAAUUCCUUUUUUAAAAUAAAGAUUUCCGAUCCAGCGUAGACGGCUUCUUUGAACUGUUGGUAUAUCUCUUCCCGGAGAUUCCGGCUUAACUUGUCUUGGACGAGACGUUUGUCAACAGCAGCCAACGCGUGGAAAAGGCACAAUUUCAAAGACGCUGAGGUGAAAAUGCGUUCUACGGCCUUCAUCUCUU